AUUGAACGCUGGCGGCAUGCCUUACACAUGCAAGUCGAACGGUAACAGGUCUUCGGAUGCUGACGAGUGGCGAACGGGUGAGUAAUACAUCGGAACGUGCCCAGACGUGGGGGAUAACGAGGCGAAAGCUUUGCUAAUACCGCAUACGAUCUAAGGAUGAAAUCAGGGGACCGCAAGGCCUUGUGCGGUUGGAGCGGCCGAUGGCAGAUUAGGUAGUGGUUGGGAUAAAAGCUUACCAAGCCGACGAUCUGGAGGUGGUCUGAGAGGACGACCAGCCACACUGGGACUGAGACACGGCCCAGACUCCUACGGGAGGCAGCAGUGGGGAAUUUUGGACAAUGGGCGAAAGCCUGAUCCAGCAAUGCCGCGUGCAGGAUGAAGGCCUUCGGGUUGUAAACUGCUUUUGUACGGAACGAAAAGGUUCUGGCUAAUACCUGGGGCACAUGACGGUACCGUAAGAAUAAGCACCGGCUAACUACGUG
rnacentral:rRNA from 1 species